rnacentral:lncRNA from 1 species
GAGUUGCUUCGACGAAGUCACACACCCACGGAGGGAAGUAAUCUGGAGGCUGCCUUGGCAUUUUUAGUGAUGUGUGGCCUCACCACUUAAAUCCAGUUUAUUGAAUCUGAAGUGAUUUGCUCCUCUUUCUGGACUACACAAUAAACACCCUCCAACGUCCCCAGCCAUGCUCUUCCCAUCAUUUGGCUGAAAGGGGAGGAAUUCAAGGCCUUAGAGUGGGGAAGCUACAAUUUGGAAGAAUCCUGGAAGCACAGAUUACCCUGUGAAGCAGCAUCCCCAUGAGGGUCUCUUUCUUCUGUGAUAUAAGCAAGAAAUAAAUGAAUUGUGCAAAUCCA